CAGCCGUAAACUAUGCGCGUUAGGUGUGCUGGUGACCACGUGUCACCGGGGUGCCGAAGGGAAACCGUGAAACGUGCCGCCUGGGAAGUACGGUCGCAAGGCUGAAACUUAAAGGAAUUGGCGGGGGAGGCACCACAACGGGUGGAGCCUGCGGGUUUAAUUUGGACUCAACGCCGGAAAUCUCACCGGAUAGGACAGACAAAUGAUAGUCGGGCUGAAGACUCUACUUGAUGAUCUGAGAGGAGGUGCAUGGC
rnacentral:rRNA from 1 species